rnacentral:rRNA from 1 species
GUGAGGAAUAUUGCUCAAUGGGCGAAAGCCUGAAGCAGCGACGCCGCGUGAGGGAUGAAAUCCGUUAGGAUGUAAACCUCUUUUAUAAGGGAAGAAUAUUCCGCUCGGCGGAAUUGACGGUACCUUAUGAAUAAGCACCGGCUAACUACGUGCCAGCAGCCGCGGUAAUACGUAGGGUGCGAGCGUUGUCCGGAAUUACUGGGUGUAAAGGGUCCGCAGGCGGGCAAAUAAGUCAGAGGUGAAAUGCUUCGGCUCAACCGAAGAAAUGCCUUUGAUACUGUUUGUCUUGAGUUCGAGAGAGGAUAGUGGAAUUCAUGGUGUAGCGGUGAAAUGCGUAGAGAUCAUGAAGAACACCAGUAGCGAAGGCGGCUAUCUGGCUCGAUACUGACGCUCAGGGACGAAAGCGUGGGUAGCAAACAGGAUUAGAAACCCCGGUAGUCC